rnacentral:RNase_P_RNA from 1 species
AAAACGGCUUGUUCUAUCGCUGCGGCUGGUGCCGGAGAGGAAAGUCGGGACAACAUAGAGCGCCAUACUUCCUAACGGGAAGGGUUCGUGAAAGCGAAUACAGAUAGUGCCACAGAAAAUAACCGCCGGCAACGGUAAGGGUGAAAACGUGAGGUAAGAGCUCACGCGGCAGUGUGGCAACAUGCUGUUGGGGUAAACCUUAUGGGUUGAAAUGCCAAAUAUACCGGAGUUCUAAUUUCAGAUAAGAGUUGCUCGCUCGAUUCCGGGGGGUAGGCAGAUUGAGGUGUAAGGCGACUUACAUCCUAGAUUAAUGAUAGGACGCGACAGAAUCCCGCUUAUAGAGCCGUCAAAAAA